ACAUAUUGGCUCUCCUUGAAUUUAUAGCCUCCCAGAAACCUGGUGUCAUUUAGUUUGCAGAACACACUCUUUAAGCCUUAUUGACAUGAGUUACUGAAGCUUAAGGAUGCUAAGAUUGGCUGGCACCAGGCAGAGUCUGAGUCUUCAAGAAGAUGGAAGACUGGGGAAGUGAUAGGAGUGAAAACUCAUACAUGGAGUCAGAGAGAUGGGAUUCAUCUGAAAGAAUGAAUCAAGAAAUUUUCCAUCCUGGAAGUAACACAUCAUUUCUUUACCUGACUAUCAGCAUCACUGCCACCACUUAGAUUCUGGUGUUCAUUCCAUCGCUUUAAAACUAUUGGGGACAGAAUUUAUCUGGAAUUUAGCAUAGAGUUCUCCACUCGCCACCUCCAGCAUCCCACACGGAUUGGACCAGCAGCAAAGAGAGUAAAGGAACAGGGCUUGUAUAACGUCUAAUAAAAGAGAAAUGUAAACAAA